CAGCACUGGAUCCGCAUGCCCGGAUGCGCCGGUGACGAGGCCAGGCGGCCGCUUGGUCCGAGAACUGGGCGGUGAACCCUGCAGCCGCCGGUCAGGACGAGCGCAGAGGCGACCAACGCGGGAACUUCUCUGCUUCCUCGACCUCCAAGGAAGAACUACGUGAGCGCUAAUGCAGCGCUGGAUCCGCAUGCCCGGAUGCGCCGGCGACGAUGCCAGGAGGCCGCUAGGUCCGGGAACUGGGCGGUGCACCCUGCAGCCGCCGAUCGGGACGAGCGCGGAGGCGACCAACGCGGGCACUUCUCUGCUUCCUCGACCUCCAAGGAAGAACUAUGUGAGCGCUAGAUGUGUUUUAUCUCAACGGAACAGUUAUGUUUAUACAUGUAUCAGUAGGUUCAGGUUUUUAGUGUCUGGAUUGUGUUCUAGUCGACAACUGAUGCUAGUCAAAUUAUGCGUGUCAC
rnacentral:lncRNA from 1 species